rnacentral:rRNA from 1 species
CCUACGGGAGGCAGCAGUGGGGAAUAUUGGACAAUGGGCGCAAGCCUGAUCCAGCCAUACCGCGUGGGUGAAGAAGGCCUUCGGGUUGUAAAGCCCUUUUUGAAGACACGCGGUACCCAAAGAAUAAGCACCGGCUAACUUCGUGCCAGCAGCCGCGGUAAUACGAAGGGUGCAAGCGUUACUCGGAAUUACUGGGCGUAAAGCGUGCGUAGGUGGUCGUUUAAGUCCGUUGUGAAAGCCCUGGGCUCAACCUGGGAACUGCAGUGGAUACUGGGCGACUAGAAUGUGGUAGAGGGUAGCGGAAUUCCUGGUGUAGCAGUGAAAUGCGUAGAGAUCAGGAGGAACAUCCAUGGCGAAGGCAGCUACCUGGACCAAAUGACACUGAGGCACGAAAGCGUGGGGAGCAAACAGGAUUAGAUACCCUUGUAGUC